GGACUUGUGGUGUCAAAUCUUUUGGAUA
rnacentral:piRNA from 1 species